rnacentral:lncRNA from 1 species
UUUGUAUGUUACAGAUGGGAUCACGAGACCAUUCGAAUAUUUCCAUUCCUUCAAGAGCUGCUCUUCCUACUGACACAGUUGAUGUUAGGGAUAUUUUGCCAUUGCAAGCUGAACUUGAUACAACUUAUACUUUCUUAAAGGAGGCAUUUUCAAAUACUCUGCCUCAUCCUCUAUCAUCUCAUUCCUCUCCAGUGGCUAUGUCUGCUAAUGCCAAAAGAUCACCUCAGAUUGGACUAUGACUUUAUAAAAUAAAAAAAAUGGAGGAAGAAUUAACAGUACAAUUAAAUUGUUUUGAAGGGGAAUUUUCUUACAGUGGAAUUUUGUUUCAGCACAAGUUGGGGUGGGUUUUUAAAAAACUGUGUGAUAUCUUGAUGUGUGCAGGUAUCUGUCUCCUUGAAUAACAAAAUAACCCACUUUUUUCUCUCUUAAGUUUUAUUUUAUUAUCACAGAUCCUCAUUUUUAUGUAACAUAUUUUUAAAUGUUAAAGAAUGACACAUUUUGGGUAAUUUCCCUCGGACUUAAAAAAUCAAUAAGCCAUUUUAGUCUCUAUCUAUCAAAGUUGUUUCAUACUUGUCUAUUUUAAAGCAGGACUGCAAUACUUUAAUAGGAUUGAGAGAGCUAUUUGAAAUGUAUGCCAAUGAUUCCUGUCAUUUCAUGGCAGCCCUGCCAUGGUUCACUGAGCCCCUCUUCUCUCUUGUCAGCUCAACUGAAGACAAGCAUUUAGUUGCAAACUUUAAGCAGGUUGUGCAAAACAGAAAUGAUGUGACUGCUUCUCCUCCUGCACAAUAAUGUCACUCCUGGUCAAUGUGAGAAGGUCAGGUUGCUCCUUGUAAAGCUACAUGAUACCACUUGCCCAUUUGAACAAGUUAAGUUAACUGCUGAAUCUGGUCCCUGCAGGCAUUGAAAACUCAUCCUUUUAUCAAGUCUGCAUUUGAUAAGAAAGUAGAGCAAUUGUACUGAGAGGAUUUCUGUGGUGUGUUUAGGCACUUUAUAAGGACAGUUCCCACAUCAGUAUAGCAGGUAAUAUAUUUAGUAUAAGCUAAAAAACUUCAAGGUAAUGGCUGUUUUGACCUUCAAAAUAGACUCCUUUUUUGUAUUUGUUGUUGGUAGGACCCAAGAGUGACGCCCAUCUUUGAUGCUGACAGAAUUUAAAACAAGGCCAUUGCCCUGCAUUUUCUGCCUUGUAGCACACAAAAGUAAAAUUGUAUGUCAGGCCGAGAUGUCGGGGAGCUGACAAGAUGCCCCAGUGACAUUUCAGCUAGAAAGAGCAAGUGUCUUGCAACCAAGUGGUCAAAUAUCAAAUAAUAGGUCAAGCAGGAAGGAGCUGAGUUCUAACCACAAAGAGGUUUCUGGUAACUUACUUGACAAGCUUUUGGGCGCUUUGUGGCUUGACAAAGUGAUGUUCUGUUGGGUAUCGCUAGACAGACUGUUCUUUAUCGCCUUCAGAAGAUCAGACAUUGACAUUGAUUAAACUCUUUAACCCUUAAAGGUUAAAUCCUUGCAGUUUGCAUCAUGGUAAGUGAAGAACAAAAGAAUAUUUGUAAUAUGUAUUUGUAUUUGUAUUAAUCAUUUAACUCCCCAGUGAUAUUAACUUCUGAUGUGAACUGUAGUUUUUGACAAAGAAUUUUGAUACAAAAUAUAUAUUUUAUAUUUUUAUUUUUCAUUAUGGAGUUUUUCAUUAUGGACACAAUAGAAAAUAAUGGCAUGUAUUAUGGAAUAUAUAUUGUGUUUACAGUGACAUUUGACUAAAUAUAUCCAACUUCUGAGGAUUUUUUUAUUGGUUCCAAUGAAUAAAGUUUGUACACUGUUAAUGUUAUUAGCCAAAUUAGCAAGUGAUUUAUGCUAUCUGAGCUGGUAGUGCUGUCGUACUAUGUAACACAAUACCAUUUCUUAUAAGAGGGAGCCAGUAUAAUUAGCUUGAAUAAAACUUUAGAAAGCUUUUGAUGUGGAGUAAAAUUGUAUUUUUAACCAAAUUUCUCUUAAUUUGGUCCUUGGAAUUCUUUUAAUGUAUCCUGUGUAUUAUAAUCUUAUGAAAUUCAAUUUUCAAAUUUAUUGUAACACAGAAUGUGCUAUUGAUCGUUUUUAUGUAGAUCUUAAAAUAAUUUCUGCACAUUUCAAAACACUUCGUUCUGCCAUUUCAUUCAAUGAUUAGAAUAUUCCCCAUGUGGAAAUUGAUAAAUGGUUUUUCAUGUGGUAUCAGUGAGCCUCCAAUUCUCAUGGGAAAGAAAAGGUAAAGCAAUGUUACCCUAUGUAACUUACGUGUCUAUGUGUAUGUGUGUAUGUUUGGGUUGAAUCUUUUUUCAGAUGCUACUGAUUUAAGAGGAGUAAGCUCUUUUGUAAAAUGUGCCUUGAACAGGUUUUGAUCUUCUUGCCUUAAUGUUAAAAUCCAUUAAUGGGAUAACUCCAAAAAUAAAUGUGUAUGUCUUUCCAUGUUCAUGUGUCUCUGAUCUUACAGAUAGAUUUCAUACAGCAAAUUCUGAAUCAUAAAUUCAAAAGGAUUAUUAAAUCAAAUCAAAGCAUGUCACAUUUUAAAGCAACUAGAUGCUAAAGGCCAUAGAAGCUGAAGGACGAGCUUCCUGAGUGAUCAUUAGUAUUCACUACCAAAUAUAGUAAUAUUUAUACCAUAUGCUUUUUUCCCAGAAGUCAGACCCAGCAGGAGGAGAAGAUUUAAUGACAUAUCCUAUGGAGAUCUGAGAAACUCUAGACUGCGUCUGAGUACCUCAGUGGCCAAUUGCUGCAUAUUUGAGAUCUGUGUUGCAUUGGCAAGGACAGUUACUCUAUGAGCUUCU